GACGAACGCUGGCGGCGUGCUUAACACAUGCAAGUCGAACGGAAAGGCCUUUUCGGAGGUACUCGAGUGGCGAACGGGUGAGUAACACGUGUGUGAUCUGCCCUGCACUCUGGGAUAAGCCUGGGAAACUGGGUCUAAUACCGGAUAGGACCGCACUUUAGUGUGUGUGGUGGAACGUUUUUUCGGUGUAGGAUGAGCCCGCGGCCUAUCAGCUUGUUGGUGGGGUAAUGGCCUACCAAGGCGGCGACGGGUAGCCGGACUGAGAGGUUGGUCGGCCACAUUGGGACUGAGAUACGGCCCAGACUCCUACGGGAGGCAGCAGUGGGGAAUAUUGCACAAUGGGCGCAAGCCUGAUGCAGAGACGCCGCGUGGGGGAUGACGGCCUUCGGGUUGUAAACUCCUUUCGCCAGGGACGAAGCGUUUUGUGACGGUACCUGGAGAAGAAGCACCGGCUAACUACGUG
rnacentral:rRNA from 1 species